rnacentral:rRNA from 1 species
UACGGAGGGUGCAAGCGUUAGUCGGAAUUACUGGGCGUAAAGGGCGCGUAGGCGGCCUACUAAGUCGGACGUGAAAUCCCUCGGCUCAACCGAGGAACUGCGUCCGAUACUGGCAGGCUGGAAUCCGGGAGAGGGAUGUGGAAUUCCAGGUGUAGCGGUGAAAUGCGUAGAUAUCUGGAGGAACACCGGUGGCGAAGGCGGCAUCCUGGACCGGUAUUGACGCUGAGGCGCGAAAGCUAGGGGAGCAAACGGG